rnacentral:rRNA from 1 species
AUUGAACGCUGGCGGCAUGCCUUACACAUGCAAGUCGAACGGCAGCACGGGAGCAAUCCUGGUGGCGAGUGGCGAACGGGUGAGUAAAGCAUCGGAACGUGCCCAGUCGUGGGGGAUAACGUAGCGAAAGCUACGCUAAUACCGCAUACGAUCUGUGGAUGAAAGCGGGGGACCGUAAGGCCUCGCCCGAUUGGACCGGCCGAUGUCAGCUUAGGUAGUUGGUGGGGUAAAGGCCCACCAAGCCGACGAUCUGUAGCUGGGCUGAGAGGACGACCAGGCAAACUGGGACUGAGACACGGCCCAGACUCCUACGGGAGGCAGCAGUGGGGAAUUUUGGACAAUGGGCGCAAGCCUGAUCCAGCAAUGCCGCGUGCAGGAUGAAGGCCUUCGGGUUGUAAACUGCUUUUGUACGGAGCGAAAAGGCUCCCUCUAAUACAGGGGGCUCAUGACGGUACCGUAAGAAUAAGCACCGGCUAACUACGUGCCAGCCGCCGCGGUAAAAC